rnacentral:rRNA from 1 species
ACGGGUGAGUAAUGUCUGGGGAUCUGCCCGAUAGAGGGGGAUAACCACUGGAAACGGUGGCUAAUACCGCAUAACGUCGCAAGACCAAAGAGGGGGACCUUCGGGCCUCUCACUAUCGGAUGAACCCAGAUGGGAUUAGCUAGUAGGCGGGGUAAUGGCCCACCUAGGCGACGAUCCCUAGCUGGUCUGAGAGGAUGACCAGCCACACUGGAACUGAGACACGGUCCAGACUCCUACGGGAGGCAGCAGUGGGGAAUAUUGCACAAUGGGCGCAAGCCUGAUGCAGCCAUGCCGCGUGUAUGAAGAAGGCCUUCGGGUUGUAAAGUACUUUCAGCGGGGAGGAAGGCGAUGGGGUUAAUAACCUUAUCGAUUGACGUUACCCGCAGAAGAAGCACCGGCUAACUCCGUGCCAGCAGCCGCGGUAAUACGGAGGGUGCAAGCGUUAAUCGGAAUUACUGGGCGUAAAGCGCACGCAGGCGGUCUGUUAAGUCAGAUGUGAAAUCCCCGGGCUUAACCUGGGAACUGCAUUUGAAACUGGCAGGCUUGAGUCUUGUAGAGGGGGGUAGAAUUCCAGGUGU